GUUGGCUCCGAAGUCAGGCUCACCAUUGGUGGUCCUCAUGAAAUCCCAUGCAGUUCUCCCCAGGGCUAAAAAAUGGUCCUUCCCUUGAUGCUUCUGCCACCAUGNNNNNNNGCUUCUGCCACCAUGGCCGCGUUUGCAGGUACUCCACUAAUCGAACGGCUAAUUCAUCGCGUGCCGUGUGAUUGGCUUCGCGGAACUUGCUGGACGCAUGAA
rnacentral:misc_RNA from 1 species